AAUAAACCAAUUUUUCAUUUUUUACCUACAAUUUUUAACUAUUUGUCUUAUUCAAAAUUUUUUUGCAUUUAUAUUUUUGUUUUUAUUAGAUGAUAAAUCAUAAAUAGUACUUUACGUGUGACUAAUUUUUUUCUAAUUUCCUAAAAUUUUUUUAAAUAAGACGGAUGGUCAAACAUUGGACACGGAAACCAGAG
rnacentral:pre_miRNA from 1 species